AGAGAAGAAGCUCAAGCAAACACAAGCAAAGGAGGAAUAAAAGAAGCAAGGGAGCCGUUUCAAAGGCAUAUCCCACCCACUACUACUACUAGCAAACAGCACAGGUUUGUGAACAAUUCAACAAUCGUGUCACCACUAGGUAAUGCUUGAAACUGGCUCGAAUUUUAAAGAUUUGUGAGGGAUGGCAGCUGCAGUAAAGAAUUCAGUCACUGUAUCUUCAGUGGGAACUGCAGCAGCAACAGCUGCAACAGUUAGCAGUAGCAGUUCAAGUCCUGCUCUCAGUUUCAGUAUACUAGCUGAGUGUGCAAAAUCAAAAGCUCGCACAAGUCUUAUGAAGCUGCCUCAUUACACUGUAGAAUUGCCCAUGUUUAUGCCAGUUGGAACUCAGGGUACUAUGAAAGGUUUGCUUCCAGAACAGGUCAAGGAUGCCAGUGCCCAAAUCAUUCUUGGGAAUACUUACCACUUGGGAACCCGUCCAGGAAAGGAUCUCCUUAACAAAUGUAAAGGGCUUCAUAACUUUAUGCAAUGGGACAGGGCACUCUUGACUGACUCAGGUGGAUUUCAAAUGGUAUCACUUCUUGAGCUGGCGGAGAUCACUGAAGAAGGAGUUAAAUUCCGGUCUCCAUACGAUGGAUCGGAGUGCAUGUUAACUCCAGAAGAAAGUAUUGAGAUACAAAAUGCCAUUGGUGGGGACAUCAUGAUGCAGUUGGAUGAUGUUGUAGAUGUCAGAGAGAAGGAUUAUGAGCGUUUUAAAGUUGCUACUCACAGAACCACACGGUGGCUUGACCGUUGCAUGAAAGCAAAUAAGAAUCCAGACCGACAGAACUUAUUUCCUAUUGUCCAGGGUGGCCUCUUUCCAGAUCUUAGGAAGAUUUCUUUAGAAGAGCUCAUAGCAAGAGAUGCCCCUGGUUAUGCUGUUGGUGGACUCAGUGGAGGGGAAGAAAAAGAUAAAUUUUGGCCAACUGUACAUCUCUGCACAGAUCAUUUACCCAAGAAUAAACCUCGAUAUUGCAUGGGAGUUGGAUUUGCUGUUGAUCUAGUUGUAUGUUGUGCUCUUGGGGUCGACAUGUUUGAUUGUGUUUUCCCAACCAGAACAGCUAGGUUUGGUUGUGCGUUGGUGGACAAUGGGCAAAUUAAUCUCAAGGCACGUGAAUUUGCAAAUGAUUUUCGACCCUUAGAUGAAAAAUGUGACUGCAUGACAUGCCAGAAUUAUACUCGUGCUUAUCUAAACACCAUUGUCACUAAAGAGACUGUAGCUUGUCAUCUGUUAUCUAUCCACAAUAUUUCUUACCAGAUGAGGCUGAUGAAGAAUAUCCGUGAGAGCAUAAAGGAAGGUAGAUUUGAAGAAUUUGUUCAAGAUUUUAUGUCAACAUAUUACAAAGACAAAACUUAUCCAAAGUGGGUGAUAGAUGCCUUGUCAGCUGUAAACAUCACUCUGAGAGAAUUGAACUGAUGAAUGACCUUGGUUUUAUUCGAGAAAAUCCAAAGGUGCUUCAUCACUCAUCGCUGGAAGAUCCUCAUGAGCUCAAGACAUCAUGUUCCCUACAUCCUGUACCUUUACUCCCAGAAGAUAUAGUGAAGGAGUUUGAAGAUAAAGUCAAUAAUGAGAUAGGCUAUCUUUGACUGGAGACCCUUCCUCAAAAUGUUCUUCCUCAUCAUUGUCUGUUGCAAGGAGCUCACAGAAGCCGAGAAAGUCACCCUUCAGGCAUCAGGCAAACUCCUUUUGCAGAAGUGCCUUUACUUCACACAAUCACAACGUAAUGAGUUAUCACCAUAUAUAGUAAGAAAGUUAACAAGUUAAAUUAGGCUGGUGCAACUGAGAUUGUUUUAAACAGAAUUAGGCAUCUUAUGAUUAAGGGGCUUUUGUAUCAUAAAACAUUACACUUUCAUAAAGCUACCUAGUAUUACAACUAAAUGCUUAAACAUUAUAAAGUAAUAAAAAAUUAUGCAUGUAUGUACCAGAGGAAAAAAUGGGUCAUCAAUCACAAACUUUUUCUUUUGAAAGGUAAAUUAUAAAUGAAUAUUGUUAGCUAGAAAUAGUUUCAAAAACAUCUGUAUAUUCUUUUAAAAAGUAUUGAAAGGCACAAUAAAUAUUGUGGUGGUCUCCUUGGAGAUAACUAAAUCCCAUAUUCUACCAAUAGAAACCAAAUCUUACUGAUUUCACUGACUAGAGUCACAAAAGUCUUUAAUAAAAUAAUCUACAUAAUUUAAGACAAUAAUAAAAUACAUUUUUUAAUGUAACAUACCAAAU